rnacentral:rRNA from 1 species
GAUGAACGCUGACAGAAUGCUUAACACAUGCAAGUCAACUUGAAUUUGGGUUUUUAACUUAGAUUUGGGUGGCGGACGGGUGAGUAACGCGUAGAGAACUUGCCUCACAGUUAGGGACAACAUUUAGAAAUGAAUGCUAAUACCUGAUAUUAUGGUUAUAGGGCAUCCUAUAACUAUGAAAGCUAUAAGCACUGUGAGAGAGCUUUGCGUCCCAUUAGCUAGUUGGAGAGGUAACAGCUCACCAAGGCGAUGAUGGGUAGCCGGCCUGAGAGGGUGAACGGCCACAAGGGGACUGAGACACGGCCCUUACUCCUACGGGAGGCAGCAGUGGGGAAUAUUGGACAAUGGACCGAGAGUCUGAUCCAGCAAUUCUGUGUGCACGAUGAAGUUUUUCGGAAUGUAAAGUGCUUUUCAGUUGGGAAGAAAGAAAUGACGGUACCAAACAGAAAAAAG